CAAUCCAAAGGUCGCCAGUUCGAGCCUGGCAGGGAGCAGCUUCCUUGGCUCAGUUGGUAGAGCGUUGGUCUCAUAGU
rnacentral:tRNA from 1 species